CAGGACCGGCGGGACUGGGAAGCCGCCCAGGUGCUUGAGGAGCGCCUCGACGCCGAGGGCGCCCAGCUCGGUGCCGGGGGUGGUGACC
rnacentral:tRNA from 1 species